rnacentral:rRNA from 1 species
GAUGAACGCUAGCGGCAGGCUUAAUACAUGCAAGUCGUGGGGCAGCAGGGUUGUAGCAAUACAAUCGCUGGCGACCGGCAAACGGGUGCGUAACACGUACGCAACCUUCCCGUUACUGUGGCAUAGCCCAGGGAAACUUGGAUUAAUACCACAUAUUAUAUUGAGGGGGCAUCCCUUUGAUAUCAAAGCUUCGGCGGUAACGGAUGGGCGUGCGGUUGAUUAGGUAGUUGGCGGGGUAACGGCCCACCAAGCCUACGAUCAAUAGCUGAUGUGAGAGCAUGAUCAGCCACACGGGCACUGAGAAACGGGCCCGACUCCUACGGGAGGAAGCAGUAAGGAAUAUUGGGCAAUGGUCGGAAGUCUGACCCAGCCAUGCCGCGUGAAGGAUUAAGGUCCUCUGGAUUGUAAACUUCUUUUCUCUGGGGCGAAAACCAGCUAUUCUUAGCUAUUUGACAGUACCAGAGGAAUAAGCACCGGCUAACUCCGUGCCAGCCGCCGCAGUAAAAC